CUCUCUUUCUCUCUCGGCAGCCUCCCGUGGCCUGUCGCCUUGUGAUUGAACGACUUGAGAAGUUAGUCCCAUACCCUUCUGCCGUCCUCCAAGGUAAUACACACACACACACACACACACACACAUGACUUGGUCCCAUACCAUAAAUAUCUGGCCCGGGCCGACUUUAGUGCUCUCUAUCCAUCUAUCUGCCGUGAAUUGAGGAGCUUCAUUUAGAGAAAAGUAGUGCUUUGCAGCUAUCUAGUGGCAUUUUGCUGUCAAGCAACUGUGUAGGACUGGAUUGAGGUGUUUCAUUUAGAUUACUGCUAUCCUGUGGCAGCUUGUUGUCAAGGAAAUAACUACAUGGGAGUGAAUUUAAGAGUUUCAGUUACACAAAAAUAUUGCUGUGCUUCCAUCUUGUGGCAACCACAGGCCAUUAUAUGGGCUUUGCAGGGGGUGUCAACGAGAGAUUUUUGCCUGAUUCCCUGCGAAUAGCUGUGUGUUGUAAUUCUUUAUUUUUGUCUACUAUCAGAGGGUAGAUGCAAUGAAAUCAACCAUUUUGUGGUUUCCACUCAACAGAAUUAUUUUAAAGAAAAAAAAAUCACUUCUUCGGUGUGUGGAGUGGGGUCAAAACUCAACAAAGGAAGCAUGAAACUAAAGUUCUUGCCGUGUCCAUUCUCAACAAUAGUUUAAUGUACUUGAUUCCCAAUGCACAAUGUGUGUGUCUUGAGGUCUCCCUCCGCAGGUUUCGUCCUGAUGGACCACUGCUGGUGCGUUGUGGAGAUGAAAGGAAUUCUGGGAAGUCAUCUCACGCUACAGAGUCUGGGAAGGGGCGCUGUGGUGCCAUGAGGAGAAAGCAUUGACGCUGCAGCACAGUCAACGCUUCCCUGACAGGGCGGACGACAACAUGGGGUACAGAUGACGUCUAAGAGGCAUCCUGCUACAUUGGCGUACCAGAGGAAGAAAACAAGACGUGACAGCGUGAAUCUCCAGCAAAGAGGACGUUGGCCGUGGCACACUUGGAGCAUGAAGGCAACUGUAAACCUAGACUGGCACGCCUUCAGUACAGCGCCACGUCAUGCUGCAACAUGCCAAGUCUACCGCAAGAGUUGCCACGUAAUAAAGCGCACGAAGAAUAGGCAGAGAAGUUCCCCUACUGAACUGUAGCCGAGAGAAUUAUACGCUUCUCCAUAUCACCGCAAGGCUUCCCGGCGGCCCACUAUAAGACCGCGUCAUGUCAUCUGUACCAGCCAAUCAUCGACGAAAGUGAAAAGCAGCUGGCAUGUCUCUUUGCUCCGAUCCGCCCAUCAAUGAGAGCCUGGUGGAAAAUCCAUCUGGAUCACACGGACCCUUAACGUUUUCAGUUCAACACCUCUGAAUGAAGCUUCGUGGCUUUCCGCAUCAUUGGCCGAAUCCUGGAAAAAAUCCACAGAAAAUACCUUACAGGUAAGCAUCGCAAUUUUAUUUCUCUAAAAGUGGACGCCGCACUAUUCAUGGUAACGGAAAACAUAGUUAGCUAAACUAAACCGGCUAGCUACGUGCUCCCGCUUGCUACGUUUGGAUUGUAAUUGUAAUUAGAGAGCUAAUCAGCUUUACUGGAAGAGUCUCAAUCCCUAUUAAUGUGAUCCUUCAUCUCAUUUGCCAUUUAGCGAUUUAGCUUCCUGCUAACACUGAACCCAAGCGUAAGGAUUAGCUGCUAACUUGCUAGCUGCCAUGUUAACCGACUGCCAAGAAACUAACUUGCGGAAUAAUCAGCGGUCGACAGACGGACAAGUGAGCCA